rnacentral:rRNA from 1 species
AGGCCUACCAUGGUGGUAACGGGUAACGGGGUGUUAGGGCACGACACCGGAGAGGGAGCCUGAGAAACGGCUACCACAUCCAAGGAAGGCAGCAGGCGCGCAAAUUACCCAAUCCCGACACGGGGAGGUAGUGACAAUAAAUAACAAUACAGGGUUCUUUGAAUCUUGUAAUUGGAAUGAGUACAAUUUAAAUCUCUUAACGAGGAACAAUUGGAGGGCAAGUCUGGUGCCAGCAGCCGCGGUAAUUCCAGCUCCAAUAGCGUAUAUUAAAGUUGUUGCAGUUAAAAAGCUCGUAGUUGAAUUUCGGGAUCAAUUCGUCGGUCGUGCUCUUUGGUACGUACUGGGGUUAUUGGUUUCUCCCUUCUGACGAACCAUGAUGUCAUUAAUUUGGUGUUAUGGGGAGUUAGGACUGUUACUUUGAAAAAAUUAGAGUGUUUAAAGCAGGCAUUAGCUUGAAUACAUUAGCAUGGAAUAAUGAAAUAGGACGUUCGAUCCUAUUUUGUUGGUUUCUAGGAUCAACGUAAUGAUUAAUAGGGAUAGUUGGGGGCAUUAGUAUUCAAUUGUCAGAGGUGAAAUUCUUGGAUUUAUUGAAGACUAACUACUGCGAAAGCAUUUGCCAAGGAUGUUUUCAUUAAUCAAGAACGAAAGUUAGGGGAUCGAAGACGAUCAGAUACCGUCGUAGUCUUAACCAUAAACUAUGCCGACUAGGGAUCGGAUGAUGUUAAUUUUUUAAUGACU